rnacentral:lncRNA from 1 species
CUCUCUCAUCCUACUCUAAUGAGGCUUUGAUAUCUGGAGCUCAUAGGUGGGAGACAGCUAAUACAUACUUACAAGACAUUUAUUGCAUAGUCAAACCAUGGAUCCAGAGAAACAAGUCAAUAAGUCAAAUCAAGAUGUGCAUGUGUGGCGAAUGAAUGGUGUAUGGUGAUGAUGGUGAUAAUGGUGAAAAUAAUGGUGAAAGUCUAAUUCUACUUUUGCUCUUUUGAGGGGAUACAUACCUUUCUUGCACUUUGAAGGUUUUUGAGAGGAAUGAAUGCUCUAUAUUUUCUUUUGCUUUUCUCUCAUGUGGGUAUCUUGUACCCCUAAUUCUACUAUCGGACACUUGUCCAUUUUUACCUCUCGUCUUACUUUUUCUUUUCUUUCGAG